rnacentral:ncRNA from 12 species
GGGUGCGACUGAACUGACUCAGUCGCAGGUUUCUUGGAUGGUCGGCCGCCAUCC